UACGUAGGGUGCGAGCGUUGUCCGGAAUUAUUGGGCGUAAAGGGCUCGUAGGCGGUCUGUUGCGUCGGGAGUGAAAACUCAGGGCUUAACCCUGAGCCUGCUUCCGAUACGGGCAGACUAGAGGUAUGCAGGGGAGAACGGAAUUCCUGGUAUAGCGGUGAAAUGCGCAGAUAUCAGGAGGAACACCGGUGGCGAAGGCGGUUCUCUGGGCAUUACCUGACGCUGAGGAGCGAAAGUGUGGGGAGCGAACAGG
rnacentral:rRNA from 1 species